GGGGUUACGGCUCAGAGGUAGAGCACUCACCUCACAUGUGGGAGGCCCUUGGUUCGAUCCUCAUCACCCCA
rnacentral:tRNA from 1 species